GAUGAACGCUGGCGGCGUGCCUAAUACAUGCAAGUCGAGCGAACAGACGAGGAGCUUGCUCCUUUGCCGUUAGCGGCGGACGGGUGAGUAACACGUGGGUCACCUACCUAUAAGACUGGGGUAACUUCGGGAAACCGGAGCCAAUACCGGAUCAUAUUACGAACCGCAUGGUUCGAUAGUGAAAGAUGGCUUUGCUAUCACUUAUAGAUGGUCCCGCGCCGUAUUAGCUAGUUGGUAAGGUAACGGCUUACCAAGGCAACGAUACGUAGCCGACCUGAGAGGGUGAUCGGCCACACUGGAACUGAGACACGGUCCAGACUCCUACGGGAGGCAGCAGUGGGGAAUCUUCGGCAAUGGGCGAAAGCCUGACGGAGCAACGCCGCGUGAGUGAUGAAGGUCUUCGGAUCGUAAAACUCUGUUAUUAGGGAAGAACAAAAGUGUAAGUAACUGUGCACGUCUUGACGGUACCUAAUCAGAAAGCCACGGCUAACUACGUG
rnacentral:rRNA from 1 species